GUGAUUUUCCGGUUGAUCCUGCCGGAGGCUAUUGCUAUCGGUGUCCGAUUUAGCCAUGCGAGUUGUACGUCUAACGUAGCGAACUGCUCAGUAACACGUGGUCAAGCUACCCUACGGAUCGGGAUAACCUCGGGAAACUGAGGCUAAUCCCGAAUAGCGCAUCCAGCCUGGAAAUGGCGGAUGUGUGAAACGGUCCGCCGCCGUAGGAUGCGACUGCGGCCGAUUAGGUAGACGGUGGGGUAACGGCCCACCGUGCCGAUAAUCGGUACGGGUCAUGAGAGUGAGAGCCCGGAGACGGACUCUGAGACACGAGUCCGGGCCCUACGGGGCGCAGCAGGCGCGAAACCUUCACACUGCACGCAAGUGCGAUGGGGGGACACCGAGUGCGAGGGCAUAGAGCCCUCGCUUUUCUGGACCGUAAGGUGGUCCAGGAACAAGGGCCGGGCAAGAAUCGAAUUCCCG
rnacentral:rRNA from 1 species